CAGACACGUUACAAAAUAUCCAAUCUUAAAUUAUUGUAAUUAUAUAGUAUGAUAAAAAUAUAAUAAUAUUAUAAAAACGAGUGUAGUGUAUAUGUGUGUGUGUGUGUGUGUGUGUGUGUGUGUGUAUGCCGCUUACCUGCGUAAUGUGUGCGGUCCCUUUGA